GGUGUGGUUGGGCCGAAGGGCCUGUUUCCACACUGAAUGUGAUAACGAAUUCUGGUCAAUUAAGCGUGACCAGGAACCUCCCUCAAUUCCUCCAAGGGAACACAUAAAAAGCAUGACAGGUCGGUAGCUUCUCAGACUCAAAAAGACGGCGACCAGCCAGAGGCGCACACAGAACAGCGAGAGUUCCUUGUCUGGUUCCCAACAGCUUCCUCUGACCAUCUGCUGGACCCGAGAUCGACUGUGUCUGUGAGAGACCCCUGACAGUGAUCGUUCUGG